CUCCUUUAUCAAGGAACUGGACUUCAUUCUCCUGCAAAAGCUGCUUGAUCUUGACCUGUUGCUGUUUGACCCGGGUCUCAAGCAGGCGCACCUGGGCUCUGAGCCGCAUCUGCUCCUGGGCACAGUCCUCGAGCGCCUGCAAAACAGGUCCCAUUUCAGAAUAUUAUUCCAAAGAGAAAGUGGCUUGAAAAGUUCUAAUACUGCCUACUAUUUGAAGAAUUGGAAAUUAUGGCUUAUGCGAAAACUCCUGGACUCAAAAGAUCAAAUAAUAUAAAAUAAUUGGAAUCGCUAUGCUAGGAGCUUUAUAGUUGUCUCCUUUGAUCCUCAUAACAAUUCCAUGCGGUAGGAAAGGGCUCAGUCUUGAUGCCCAGUGGGUAAGCGGAGGUGGGAUUCAAAUUCAGUUCAAGGACUGUGCUCUCAAUCUCUAUAUGACAUUGCUUAUGUGUUUUCUAAACAGUAAUGUGGUUUAUAGAAGUUAAUUGUACUGUUGGCAUGUAAAUCUCCAUAAUAAAUGAGGUUUUUGAAUGGC
rnacentral:lncRNA from 1 species